rnacentral:rRNA from 1 species
AGAGGAAGUAAAAGUCGUAACAAGGUCUCCGUUGGUGAACCAGCGGAGGGAUCAUUACUGAGUUUACGCUCUACAACCCUUUGUGAACAUACCUACAACUGUUGCUUCGGCGGGUAGGGUCUCCGCGACCCUCCCGGCCUCCCGCCUCCGGGCGGGUCGGCGCCCGCCGGAGGAUAACCAAACUCUGAUUUAACGACGUUUCUUCUGAGUGGUACAAGCAAAUAAUCAAAACUUUUAACAACGGAUCUCUUGGUUCUGGCAUCGAUGAAGAACGCAGCGAAAUGCGAUAAGUAAUGUGAAUUGCAGAAUUCAGUGAAUCAUCGAAUCUUUGAACGCACAUUGCGCCCGCCAGCAUUCUGGCGGGCAUGCCUGUUCGAGCGUCAUUUCAACCCUCAAGCUCUGCUUGGUGUUGGGGCCCUACAGCCGAUGUAGGCCCUCAAAGGUAGUGGCGGACCCUCCCGGAGCCUCCUUUGCGUAGUAACUUUACGUCUCGCACUGGGAUCCGGAGGGACUCUUGCCGUAAAACCCCCCAAUUUUCCAAAGGUUGACCUCGGAUCAGGUAGGAAUACCCGCUGAACUUAAGCAUAUCAAUAA